rnacentral:rRNA from 1 species
GCAAGUCGAGCGCUUUCCUUCGGGUGGAGCGGCGGACGGGUUAGUAACGCGUGGGAACAUACCCUUUUCUACGGAAUAGCCUCGGGAAACUGAGAGUAAUACCGUAUACGCCCUUCGGGGGAAAGAUUUAUCGGAGAAAGAUUGGCCCGCGUUAGAUUAGAUAGUUGGUGGGGUAAUGGCCUACCAAGUCUACGAUCUAUAGCUGGUUUUAGAGGAUGAUC